CACAUUUCUGUUCUUGCAGUACACGAGACAGCGUCCUGUGGGAUUGCACGAAGAGGGCUGUUGAGCUGGUGGGAGCAGAGUGAGAGCCCCAAGCUGCUGCCAUGCAACCUGGCUCUCAUCUCAAACAGGGUGAGACUUGGCACAGCUGUAUGUGAGUGCAGGGAAAGGCUUGCAGCCCAUUACAGGACUGCAUAAGAGCUGAGGAUGUGACAGAGCUGCAGAUCUGCCUGGAAGAUUCCCAUAGCAGGUGUAAGCAAGGGCCAGAGCUGAAAUAGUGGGAGCAGCAGUACCUAGGUAGGAUGGGAGAGCUGCAGUGGAGGUGCCAGCCCAGGAGGAGGAUGGGCUGCUUGGAGUUCCACGCAGAAGCAUGGCACAUGAGAGGGAAGGAAAGAUGAGAUGUUCAAAAGGGGUCUUGGCAGAGCCACAGGAGAAGACCCAGCAUGGUUCAGGAGAGGACACACACUGCCCACCGGGAAAGGCUUGUGGAGGAGGAAGGAAUAAAUGACACCAAAUUCUGUAAUGGAAAGAAAAAAAAAAAUAGUGUGUAUCGGAAACUGCUGCUGAGUGACUCACGCUGCCGGACAAACGGAACCUCACUCAUCACUCCAUCUUCAUCCUCCUCCUCUGCUGAGGUUGUCAUCAUCCUAUGAUGCCUCUUUCAGUACAACUACUUCACUUCCACAUCUUCCCAUUAUGAAGCUCUGCCCUCCAUCCAGCACUGUAUGCUCUCUACAACCCAGCUUUCCUCAUCAUCAGCUCAGGCUGUUGAAAUGUCAGAUGGUAAAAACAACCAAGAGUUCCAGAUGGGGCAAUUGGAAGAGAAACAUGCUGAAGAUGAUAAUAAGAAAGUUCUGGAUUCUCUCAAGUGGGAGUCCCAUGUCCUCACCUGUGACUUCCAAAUGCAGUCACUGUUCAAGUCUUGUGCAAAGCAGCAUGCCAUGAGGAAGUUCUUCAUUAUUAGGCGUUCCCUCAUUUGACCAGGAGUGUUUGACCAAACCAUAGAGGGUCGGUGUCAUGAGGAGCUCAGAGGAAAUGUCACAGAGCUCUUUGCUGCUGAGUGGGAGGUCAUGAAGAGUUUGGAGUCUGGCUGUGGUGCUGAUACAUAUGAUGGGUUGAUGGAAAGAAGACAAGCCUGCGAGCGAUGCAACGUGGUGGUGCAUUUGAGGUCUGUGAACGUGAAACCUUUCUGAAGAGAUUGCUAACUGACAGAAAUAACGAGAAGGAGCAAGUUGUGCUGAUCGUGGCCUCCUACCUACUGGUCUGCAAAUGGGGCUUCACCAUGCUGAGCUGCUUCUGAGCACUGCAAAUCCACUGAUUCUGACCACCGUUGACUGUGUUAGCCGCUUUGUUAUCCCAGGAACAUGUCUGGAGAAGAGAGUGCAGCAACAUCUGGAGGAUGGUGAACUGCUACGGUGAGGAAAACUGCAUGAUCUAAGACAGAAUGGCCAGUCCUCAGAAGCUGAGCUGGAAGGAUCAUUUGGGCAUUCCAGCUGCUGCAGGUGGGCCAGGUAAUCACCAGGAGGUGGCAUCCAUCCCCCAGAGACACUGCAGCCCAUGCUGGGUAUGGUGCCUGUCCUUAUCUGUGAGCCUUGUUCUUCCUCUAGAUUGUGCUAGGUCUCUGCAGCAGCGUAUUUGGGACCAGCUAGGUCUUGGUCUGCAGGCUGGAGGUGAGAAGUCCUGCCACCACACAGCGCUGCCAGCGUGUUCCCAUUCUGAGUCAUUCCUUUGCCUGUUUAUUUUCGGUAUUUGUUUAUUUACCAGUGAGGUGUCAGCCCAGAGCAGGUUGGCUGUGCUGAACUCCUCUGGUGGCCCAAUGGCUGCUGCCAGCUCUCUCCAAGUCCUGCUGUGUUGGGAUUGCUUCCACCCCGAGCCCAGGGAGAGAGAGGUUGGGUUGCUGUGAGAGGAAUGCCAGCACAGUCUCCCACCAGAAGCGUGCUCAGCUCCAGGUAACGAGCGUGGUACCACAGGGUAAACUUCUUCCACUCUCCCCAUGGAGCCCCUGGCUCCCAGCUCUCUCUCUGAGCCAACUGUGGGGGGUGGAGGGAGGUUAAGAGGCAUAUCCUUUGCUGUAAUUAUAUCCUGUUGCUAGAGAUAUUGUGUUCUGUAUAAAGAAAUCAUCAUAAUACAGCCUCCCGGAGAAGGUAAUUACUGUGCAUCUUAUGAAUGGCUGCAUAUGAAUGUCUGCUCAAGCUGCUGUCAGCAGCAAGUUUCAACACAUCUUACAUACCAGGCAUUUCACAGCCUUAGUUUUAUUUGUUUUCAUCACCCCUUGCCUUAUGCUUUAUAUUUCAUUAAUGGAGCUGUUUUUUUUUUUUUGUUUGGGUUGUUUAUUUGUUUAU
rnacentral:lncRNA from 7 species